rnacentral:piRNA from 1 species
UGGGAUUGGUGUGCUGUCCUUCACUAGC